rnacentral:rRNA from 1 species
AACGAACGCUGGCGGCAUGCCUAACACAUGCAAGUCGAACGAGACCUUCGGGUCUAGUGGCGCACGGGUGCGUAACACGUGGGAAUCUGCCCGUUGCUUCGGAAUAACAGUUAGAAAUGACUGCUAAUACCGGAUGAUGUCGAAAGACCAAAGAUUUAUCGGCAAAGGAUGAGCCCGCGUAGGAUUAGGUAGUUGGUGGGGUAAAGGCCUACCAAGCCGACGAUCCUUAGCUGGUCUGAGAGGAUGAUCAGCCACACUGGGACUGAGACACGGCCCAGACUCCUACGGGAGGCAGCAGUGGGGAAUAUUGGACAAUGGGCGAAAGCCUGAUCCAGCAAUGCCGCGUGAGUGAUGAAGGCCUUAGGGUUGUAAAGCUCUUUUACCAGGGAUGAUAAUGACAGUACCUGGAGAAUAAGCGCCGGCUAACUCCGU